rnacentral:rRNA from 1 species
AUGGUCUGCUGGGUUGACCUCUGGCGUGGCAUCCUCCUCUGCAAUGUGCUCGAGGAAAAUCCCCUUCUCCUUGACAUCCCGCUACCGCUGCCGGCGAGGGGUAACUGGAGACUCUACCACAAAUCCAGCUCGUACAAAUAUCGGGACAUCACCGUCAGCCCGCUCAAGGAUACCAUCAAGUACAUUGAGAUUGAGGUCUGCCCACCAAGAAACCCUCCUGCUGAUGAGUCCUAUAUGGACUGGUUUCACCAAAAGCGCCGUGACAAACGGUGCAAUGCACCUUGUACGGGCUGGAAGGCCAGGACAUGGAGCCUAUCGACCACAACAAUUCCUUCAUGGAAAUGGCGCCUUGACUGCACCCUCGAUGUUGCUGACAUCGAUGUCCAACCAAUCCAUUCUGAGCAGCUACCUAGGACGUGUAGCAUUACCGACAACCUCACCCAAGCAACAUGUCUGCAACGACUCAUCAUUGGUUUCCCCACCUUGAGCAUGGACGAUGAUGUUGUGUACAUGCUUUCUAAGGCCUGCCCCGAGGACCAGAUGGAAGUGGUGAUUGCUAUUGAUAUGAGCAAGAAGACGCUUCAGGGAGUGACUAAGCUUGUUACCGGAAAAGAUUUCACCGAUACACGUAUCUGCACCAGUGAAAUCUCCAAAUAUCUUAGUAAAGAUGAAGUGGCCAGGUAG